AAAAUGACUCUCGGCAACGGAUAUCUCGGCUCUCGCAUCGAUGAAGAACGUAGCGAAAUGCGAUACUUGGUGUGAAUUGCAGAAUCCCGCGAACCAUCGAGUCUUUGAACGCAAGUUGCGCCCUAAGCUUUAGGCCGAGGGCACGCCUGCCUGGGUGUCACACA
rnacentral:rRNA from 1 species